CGGAGGAUCCAAGCGUUAUCCGGAAUCAUUGGGUUUAAAGGGUCCGUAGGCGGUUUAGUAAGUCAGUUGUGAAAGCCCAUCGCUCAACGGUGGAACGGCCAUUGAUACUGCUAAACUUGAAUUAUUAGGAAGUAACUAGAAUAUGUAGUGUAGCGGUGAAAUGCUUAGAGAUUACAUGGAAUACCAAUUGCGAAGGCAGGUUACUACUAAUGGAUUGACGCUGAUGGACGAAAGCGUGGGUAGCGAACAGGAUUAGAUACCCUGGUAGUCCACGCCGUAAACGAUGGAUACUAGCUGUUGGGGGCAACUUCAGUGGCUAAGCGAAAGUGAUAAGUAUCCCACCUGGGGAGUACGUUCGCAAGAAUG
rnacentral:rRNA from 1 species